rnacentral:rRNA from 1 species
AUUGAACGCUGGCGGCAGGCCUAACACAUGCAAGUCGAGCGGAUGAAGGGAGCUUGCUCCUGGAUUCAGCGGCGGACGGGUGAGUAAUGCCUAGGAAUCUGCCUAGUAGUGGGGGAUAACGUCCGGAAACGGGCGCUAAUACCGCAUACGUCCUGAGGGAGAAAGUGGGGGAUCUUCGGACCUCACGCUAUCAGAUGAGCCUAGGUCGGAUUAGCUAGUUGGUGGGGUAAAGGCCUACCAAGGCGACGAUCCGUAACUGGUCUGAGAGGAUGAUCAGUCACACUGGAACUGAGACACGGUCCAGACUCCUACGGGAGGCAGCAGUGGGGAAUAUUGGACAAUGGGCGAAAGCCUGAUCCAGCCAUGCCGCGUGUGUGAAGAAGGUCUUCGGAUUGUAAAACACUUUAAGUUGGGAAGAAGAGCAGUAAGUUAAUACCUUGCUGUUUUGACGUUACCAACAGAAUAAGCACCGGCUAACUUCGUG